rnacentral:lncRNA from 1 species
UGUCUAUCUUGUUCAGACUCGUUCUCUGCAGUGAAGCUAAACCGGAUCUAGAUACCCAACUCUCCAUCUGUGGUGGAAGAGCCAAUGGAACCCUAGAAUUCAACUUCAGUCCAUGUCCGGCAACCUUCAACUCUUUCUUUGGUCCUCUUUCCUAAAAACAAUUAAAACACAUAUUAGAAAACAAAUUAUAAAAUAUUCAACUAUUAUUCAUUUUCAAAUAUAGUCCGUUUACUUACCUCACCGAACCAUAUAUGUCGAGCAACAUGAUGCUCGUACUUCACCAAAAGCGAUGUAUCGUACGGCCCUCCUGGAUAUCCAGUCGGCUCAGCUGCAGCUGCAGAUGAAGAUGCACCCCGGUCUAACGUGCGGACUGGAAUCCGGCCAUCUGCACCUCUUCUUCGAACCACUGCAAAAAUAAUGUA